ACUCCUACUGGAGGCAUCAGUGGGGAAUAUUGGGCAAUGGAGGAAACUCUGACCCAGCGACGCCGCGUGCGGGAUGAAGGCCUUCGGGUUGUAAACCGCUUUCAGCAGGGAAGAAGCGAAAGUGACGGUACCUGCAGAAGAAGCACCGGCUAACUAUGUGCCAGCAGCCGCGGUAAUAC
rnacentral:rRNA from 1 species